rnacentral:rRNA from 1 species
GACAGAGGUGCCAAGCGUUAGGCGGAAUCACUGGGCUUAAAGCGUGUGUAGGCGGGUCGUUAAGUACCUUGUGAAAUCCCAUGGCUCAACCAUGGAACUGCUGGGUAUACUGGCGAUCUUGUGCAACCUAGGGGCGAGCGGAACAGAUGGUGGAGCGGUGAAAUGCGUAGAUAUCCGGAGGAACACCGGUGGCGAAGGCGGCUUCCUGGAUCGACACUGACGCUGAGGUGCGAAAGCUAGGGGAGCAAACGGG